GACGAACCAUGCAAACGUUAUUCGGAAUCACUGGGCUUAAAGGGUGCGUAGGCGGUGCGGAAAGUUGGGUGUGAAAUCCCUCAGCUUAACUGAGGAACAGCGCUCAAAACUGCCGUGCUCGAGGGAGAUAGAGGUGAGCGGAACUUAGGGUGGAGCGGUGAAAUGCGUUGAUAUCCUAAGGAACACCGGUGGCGAAAGCGGCUCACUGGAUCUCUUCUGACGCUGAGGCACGAAAGCUAGGGGAGCAAACGGG
rnacentral:rRNA from 1 species